GGUAACCGAUCCAGUCGGCUGUUGUCAUUGAGUAACCGAUCCAGUCGGCUGUUGUCACUGAGUAACCGAUCCAGUCGGCUGUUGUCACUGGGUAACCGAUCCAGUCGGCUGUUGUCACUGGGUAACCGAUCCAGUCGGCUGUUGUCACUGGGUAACCGAUCCAGUCGGCUGUUGUCAUUGAGUAACCGAUCCAGUCGGCUGUUGUUAUUGAGUAACCGAAAAUAGAAAAAAGAAAAGAAAAAACCACUAUGGUGUUUCCACAACUUUCUGACAGAGGGAGAAAAUAUAGAGGGAUGGAUUACAACAGUCAGAAGAGAGAAAAAUUAUCACUUUAUCAGUCACUUCCUCAGCAACUGUAUUAGAAACUUCACUAGCAGUUUUGACUAGUUUUGUUUUUUUGUUUUUUUUUUGCCAGGUACUUGGGGCAUCCAUAUGUUUAUUAUGUUUAUUAGAUGUGUGUAUAUUGUUUGUUGUUGAAUAAAGCUGUUGAUUCAGUAUUAGUUUUUGGUGUGCAGUUGAAAAAAACAUUGGGUCAACUUAUUGCUGAAAUUUUGUGUGUUCUAUUACUUUUUAGUCAUCCAUGACAUUAAAAAAAAGAAAUUAUGAUUGUGGAAGUGCAAAGGGUCCGAAAGACUCAUGUUUGCCCUGUUAUAUAAUUGUAGUAGUCUUGUUUUAUUUGUCUUACCUAAAGAUAUUACACUGGCCGUGUCAAGUAUGAGAUAUAUAAUGUAUGAGAUUGUAAACAUCUUACCUGUUUCCCCAUCUUCCUUUCUAGUGACAUGCAUAUUGGAAAAGUGCUUCACCUCAGCAACACUGAAUGCCAUGAAAGGAUCAUAUAACUGGUUGGUCAGGAUUCCCUUCAGCAAAGUCCUGCCAGUGUACACCACAAACUAACACAGGAUUUCCUCAACACAUUUGGCUGGUUUGGAAGGUCCAAGUAUCAGUGUUAGAGGGUGGCAGGUGAAUGGCACAAAGCAGUGUUUCCCCUAUAUACAUUCAGCAGUGGUGUGCAGUUGAAUGGGGCUGGUAUGAAGUGAAAGGAACCGCACCACAUACGCAGUGACGUCUCCGUACAGCAGUCCAACAAAGGCUAUUCGUGAGUGUGUGCGCACAAGGGAGAAGCAAGAUGCCUGAAAAGGUAGAACAACCUGCCUCUCUUAGCAGAAUGUCCACAGCAAAAUGGGUUACAAGUCAAGCUAAUUGGCUACUAGUUAUUCCCAUAGAUAUCUAUACAUAGAUACCCCAUUUGACUGCUCCAGACACGUCAACGCGUCUGCCAUCAACAUUUCAGACUAUUCCUCCACCAGCAUGCUUAAACCAUGGAGACACACACAACAGCACUCCUGCUGAAAAACAUUGGCGACUCAAGGAAAUCUCAGCCUUUACUUUUAAUAUCUAAAUAGCAGCCAAGUGAAACCAGCAUUUAAACGUUUCCAGUAUGCAGCUGAUUAUUUAUCUCCAUUGGAUAGUGCUGCAGCUGCUCACCAAGGCUCUCUUAAUUUAAGACACAUUCCAUGACUGACGUCCCUGACUCCAUCUCUGACUACCACUGUUUUGUAUAUUGGAGUUUUCAGCAAUGUUAUUGCUUUUGAUGGGGAGCUCUGGGUGUCCUUUUUUUUUAUUCCCCCCAGGAGGUCAAUGACAUUAUUUCUAAUGAAGUGUUUUGUUGCCAGCUCUUGCAGAAAUACUGUGUGCGUGAAGCUGGAGCUAUUUCACCAUCACAUUCAGGCUCCAAACUGCAGUUCUCCCCUCUCACUCCAUUGUACUCCAACUGUGUUGUUUUUUUUUUCUAUUGUUGUUCCUAUUUUAAUAAAACUCUUUGCCCAUUGUAUAAUUGAAAUAGUAGAUUAUGGCCCAACAAUGCUUCUGAAAGAUUUUUCGUUAUUUACCAUUGCAUAUUUGUAUACAGUCUUACCUGACUGCCUAUUGUUUUUUCCAGUGAGCUGAGUACAGGAGUGUUUUGUCACUCCAUUCGUGUGACAUAACAGUUUGGCCACUAUUCAGAGCCCUUAUAGCAUAUUGUACAGAUGGACAUUAUGCAAUGUUUGGUCCCCACUGUUCCUUUCAGAGACGGGGUAGUAUUUGGUAAAUUUAUGACUGUACUGUAAAAUUGUCAUGUGUAAAUAAAUACAGAUUAAGCACAACAUGAUUCAGCACAUGUAGGUUUGCAAACAUUUGUCAGAUGAUAUCUGUGUGUGAUCUUGAUAAUGUGCUUAAACACACUUGUGAAUGCUGUUUGAAAGUGAAAGUGGUUGGAUCCAUCACUCCACAUUCCCUAAUCUAACAGACCUGAUUCAACUCGUCAGAUUACUAGGAAAUUGCUUCAAGUCCUGAAAUGGGUGUUUAAGAUGCGGUAGACAUCCACCAUGCAGUGUUGGGGGCCUUCCAGGAAAAUGGUAAGAAAACACUGAAGACACUGUGCAUGAGCGUCCUCUACUGCCUGACAAUGGUAAUGUAAUAAUAAAGGCUUUUGGAACUAA